rnacentral:rRNA from 1 species
AGAGUUUGAUCCUGGCUCAGAAUCAACGCUGGCGGCGUGCCUAACACAUGCAAGUCGAACGAGAAAGUGGAGCAACCCAUGAGUAAAGUGGCGACCGGGUGAGUAACACGUGACUAACCUACCUCCGAGUGGGGAAUAACUCCGGGAAACCGGGGCUAAUACCGCAUAACAUCGCAAGAUCAAAGCAGCAAUGCGCUUGGAGAGGGGGUCGCGGCUGAUUAGCUAGUUGGCGGGGUAACGGCCCACCAAGGCGAAGAUCGGUAUCCGGCCUGAGAGGGCGCACGGACACACUGGAACUGAAACACGGUCCAGACUCCUACGGGAGGCAGCAGUGGGGAAUUUUGCGCAAUGGGGGAAACCCUGACGCAGCAACGCCGCGUGGAGGAUGAAGCCCUUUGGGGCGUAAACUCCUUUCGACUCGGAAGAUUAUGACGGUACGAGUGGAGAAGCCCG